GUCAGGAUGGCCGGAGCGGCGCAAGGCGCUGCGUUAAGGUCGCAGUCUCCUCUGGAGGCGUGGGUUCAAAUCCCACUUCUGACA
rnacentral:tRNA from 1 species